rnacentral:rRNA from 1 species
UACGUAGGGUGCAGGCGUUAAUCGGAAUUACUGGGCGUAAAGCGUGCGCAGGCGGCUUCCUAAGUCAGAUGUGAAAUCCCCGGGCUUAACCUGGGAACUGCGUUUGAAACUGGGAGGCUAGAGUGCGGCAGAGGGAGGUGGAAUUCCACGUGUAGCAGUGAAAUGCGUAGAUAUCUGGAGGAACACCGGUGGCGAAGGCGGCCCCCUGGCUCGAUACUGACACUGAGGUGCGAAAGCGUGGGGAGCAAACAGGAUUAGAUACCCUUGUAGU